rnacentral:tRNA from 1 species
GUCUCCAUAGCUCAGUGGUAGAGCAUGCGAUUGCAGAUCGCAGGGUCAGGUGUUCGAACCACCUUGGGGACU